rnacentral:rRNA from 1 species
CCUACGGGUGGCUGCAGUGGGGAAUAUUGCACAAUGGGCGCAAGCCUGAUGCAGCCAUGCCGCGUGUGUGAAGAAGGCCUUCGGGUUGUAAAGCACUUUCAGCGGGGAGGAAGGCGUUAAGGUUAAUAACCUUGGCGAUUGACGUUACCCGCAGAAGAAGCACCGGCUAACUCCGUGCCAGCAGCCGCGGUAAUACGGAGGGUGCAAGCGUUAAUCGGAAUUACUGGGCGUAAAGCGCACGCAGGCGGUCUGUCAAGUCGGAUGUGAAAUCCCUGGGCUCAACCUGGGAACUGCAUUCGAAACUGGCAGGCUAGAGUCUUGUAGAGGGGGGUAGAAUUCCAGGUGUAGCGGUGAAAUGCGUAGAGAUCUGGAGGAAUACCGGUGGCGAAGGCGGCCCCCUGGACAAAGACUGACGCUCAGGUGCGAAAGCAUGGGGAGCAAACAGGAUUAGAUACCCCAGUAGUC